AGAGACAGCAGCAGCCGCGGUAAUACGUAGGUCCCGAGCGUUGUCCGGAUUUAUUGGGCGUAAAGGGAGCGCAGGCGGUUUAGUAAGUCUGAAGUUAAAGGCAUUGGCUCAACCAAUGUAUGCUUUGGAAACUGUUAGACUUGAGUGCAGAAGGGGAGAGUGGAAUUCCAUGUGUAGCGGUGAAAUGCGUAGAUAUAUGGAGGAACACCGGUGGCGAAAGCGGCUCUCUGGUCUGUCACUGACGCUGAGGCUCGAAAGCGUGGGUAGCGAACAGGAUUAGAUACCCCGGUAGUCCCUGUCUCUUAUACA
rnacentral:rRNA from 1 species